GCCGCCAUGACCUUGCCGCCUGCGCACGCGUUGUUGUCCCCAUCCCCUAGCAGAAACAAAAGUUUUCCAGUCAAAGAGAAAAUAUUCUUAUCAAGGCCAUUGGGUUGAGUUUUUGGGGCUUCUCAGUGUCACUGCGAAUUGAGGUCUCAGGAAUGCUUCUGCAAAAUCUUGAGUCUUGAAAGGUUUGCAACAUGAGAAAUAUCAUCUAUUUGGUGGAGCUGCCAAACUUCGGACGUAAUAUUAUACAUUGUUUUUCUCACCAAUUGCUUCACCUUCGUCCAGGCUAACCUCCGAGGCUUGCCUUAUGAUAUCAUUGAGGAUCAAGGUACCAAUGGAGGUGGUGCCGUUCAUUGCUGGACAACUACUUGGCAGAGGCUUCCACGGUAGUACUUUCAUGAGUUCUGUGAUCUUACUCUUGAUCAAUAACAUGUUCGCAUCUAUAUUGUCACUCAGAUGCUCAACCUACAAAUUGAUACUAAGGUUAUCACUCAAGUAAAAUUUAAAUGAAUUAAGAGAGUUGCUAGAAGUUUCAUGUUCUUUACUGAACUUGAAUAGGCCUCUUGCCUCGGUUGCGAUUGCAUAUUUGUUUGAAUUUUCAUGCAGUUUGGUUCAGUUUCAUGUUCAAUAAGGAGUGAAGUAAUAGAGAUUGGUUGGGAGGAAGGGGGAACUUGAAUACAACUUUCGUCUCAGCUUCAUAUUCUUUUGGAAGUUCCAGUUUCAUUUUAUUUCUUGAAAUAAUGACCAUGCCUCCCAACAAAUUUGAUAGUAACCAUGCCUCCCAAGGAAAGUAACAGGAAUUUUUUUCUAACGGAUAGUGUUUGACCUUGCCUCCCAACCAGUUUUAUAGUAACCAUGACUCCUAAUUAAUUUUAGAUGUUACAUAGGCACAUUAUUAAUGCAUCAAAACGAUGCAAAAAAAAUUACACUCGUGAUCUUCAGAAAUUGUUGGAUUCAGUUGUUUCUUUUUGCAAGAUGCAUAUAUGUUUAAUCAUAUGAGCAAUAUAUGAACAAGCAGAGUAAUUUUAGAGGAUAUGCCCAUUCGAGACCGAAAUACAUAUCCACACGCACACCUUUAUCAGUGCAAGCUUAUGAGUUGGCUAGAGAAGCAGGAUAAAUCAUAGCUUGAGAAUAUAGUGACAGGGUGUAGGAUGUCAGUUAACAACAAGUUGUAGUUGGGUCGUCCUUGAUUUCUAGGCAUACAAGUACAGUUAGUUGAGUCCUUGCAAAUUAAGGCGUUGUCAACCUUUACUUAGUAUGGCAAAGUUCACAAUAGAUAAAAUCUAUACCAUUAUAUACGAGUUGGUGAUGGCAGUACGCCGAUCGUCGCACUUUGGGGUCGUCAUUGGAAG